AAAUGAGCACCAAAAGCAGGGAAUCUGAUCCCAAAGUAUGCCACCAUUUCUCUUUUAGCAAUUAUUGGGAAUCUUAGCGAAAAUCAUCACAACACGUUUUCACACAGAGUCAAGCUCUACUACUAUUAUUGUUUUCAUGUCCACAACGUUCCUAAUAAGUUUAUUUAUACAUACUUGCAGCAAUCUUAAGUUGCAUUAGCCUUGCAUUUGCAAACUCUUCAAUUCACAUUCUCCUCAGCUUUCUACUUGUUCAUAGAAUGGAAAAGAAAGGAAAUAGCUGCCCCAUGGACGUGUUUGAAAAGAUCUACAAAGCAGUCACAGUCUUUCCUGCUUUCCAUGCAAUUCGUCGCAUAUCACAUCUCGUACAACAUUCCAGGUCAGACAGCCCUGCUUCAAAAUCUUCGCCACCAGCUUCCUCUGUGAAAAUCAUUGAUAUCCAAUCCAAACCACCUUCUUCAAAACAUCCCAAAUCACCUAGAAAUGAGAAAGUAGCUACCGCGGUUCCCAUAAUCUUUGAUUAUUCAAGCCAGAAUGAGAAACCGAAGCCUGAUACUCCACCUGAGCCCUUUCAGAAGAACACCCAAAUAGCAAAAGUCGCUUCCAAGAUUGAACGUGAAGCUACACCAGGAAACACCAUUGCUGGUGAAGUAAAUAAGGUCAAUCCUAAAGGGAAAUUGGAAAAGGAAAGUGGGAAAUCAGGAGUGCAUAUUGAAGAUAGAUUCACUGAAUAUAUCAAUCGUUCAAAGUUAAACAUCAGAACUAUGUCAAAAUCAAGUGAAGGAAACAGUGUCUCUGGUAAAGAUAAAGACAAGUUAUCAGACAAUAGCUCCGGAAAGGACAAGUUUUCGGAUUACAUUGAUCGU
rnacentral:misc_RNA from 1 species